rnacentral:tRNA from 1 species
GAUGCCAAGACGGCUAGCCACACUACCCGAGGACA